UACGUAGGGGGCAAGCGUUGUCCGGAAUCAUUGGGCGUAAAGAGCGUGUAGGCGGCCCGAUAAGUCCGCCGUGAAAGUCCAGGGCUCAACCCUGGAAUGCCGGUGGAAACUGUCGGGCUCGAGUCCGGAAGAGGCGAGUGGAAUUCCUGGUGUAGCGGUGAGAUGCGCAGAUAUCAGGAGGAACACCAAUGGCGAAGGCAGCUCGCUGGGACGGUACUGACGCUGAGACGCGAAAGCGUGGGGAGCAAACAGG
rnacentral:rRNA from 1 species